rnacentral:rRNA from 1 species
CACGUAGGGCGCAAGCGUUGUCCGGAAUUAUUGGGCGUAAAGAGCUCGUAGGUGGUUUGUUACGUCUGCUGUGAAAACCUAGGGCUUAACCCUGGGCUUGCAGUGGAUACGGGCAGACUAGAGGUAGGUAGGGGAGAAUGGAAUUCCUGGUGUAGCGGUGGAAUGCGCAGAUAUCAGGAGGAACACCGGUGGCGAAGGCGGGUCUCUGGGCAGUAACUGACGCUGAGGAGCGAAAGCGUGGGGAGCGAACAGG